GGUUCAUCAUUGGUUUUCUGAUGAAGGACAAAAAAUAAGUAAAAUUAAUAGGCAAAAUCGUGCUAAGUUUGAAGAUGUUCAUUGUAUGGGUUCAAAAAGUCUCCCAAAGUUUAUUGAUGAGAAGAU